AUUGAACGCUGGCGGCAGGCUUAACACAUGCAAGUCGAGCGGAGCGAGGGUGCUUGCACCUUAGCUUAGCGGCGGACGGGUGAGUAAUGCUUAGGAAUCUGCCUAUUAGUGGGGGACAACAUUCCGAAAGGAAUGCUAAUACCGCAUACGUCCUACGGGGGAAAGCAGGGGAUCUUCGGACCUUGCGCUAAUAGAUGAGCCUAAGUCGGAUUGGCUAGUUGGUGGGGUAAAGGCCUACCAAGGCGACGAUCUGUAGCGGGUCUGAGAGGAUGAUCCGCCACACUGGGACUGAGACACGGCCCAGACUCCUACGGGAGGCAGCAGUGGGGAAUAUUGGACAAUGGGCGGAAGCCUGAUCCAGCCAUGCCGCGUGUGUGAAGAAGGCCUUUUGGUUGUAAAGCACUUUAAGCGAGGAGGAGGCUACUUAGAUUAAUACUCUGGGAUAGUGGACGUUACUCGCAGAAUAAGCACCGGCUAACUCUGUGCCAGCAGCCGCUGUAA
rnacentral:rRNA from 1 species